rnacentral:lncRNA from 1 species
UUUGAUAAGAUCUGGCGAGAACACUGUGAGGAUGAAGAAACUCUUUGUGAAUAUGCCGUUGCAAUGAAAAAUUUGGCAGAUAAUCAUUGGGCAAAAACUUGUGAGGGCGAAGGUCGUAUUGAAUGGUGUUGUAGUGUAUGCAGAGAAUAUUUCCAAAAUGGUGGGAAGAGAAAAGCACUUGAGAAAGAUGAAAAAAGAGCUGUACUUGCCACUAAGACCACUCCAGCCUUAAAUAUGCAUGAGUCUUCUCAACUUGAAGGUCAUUUAACCAACCUCAGCUUUACAAACCCUGAAUUUAUAACUGAG